UCCCUGGUGGCUCAGAUGGUAAAGAAUCUGCCUGCCAAUGCUGGAGACCUGGGUUCGAUUCCUAGCUUGGGAA
rnacentral:tRNA from 1 species